rnacentral:rRNA from 1 species
GCAAGUCGAACGAGAUCUUCGGGUCUAGUGGCGCACGGGUGCGUAACGCGUGGGAAUCUGCCCUUUGGUUCGGAAUAACAGUUGGAAACGACUGCUAAUACCGGAUGAUGACGAAAGUCCAAAGAUUUAUCGCCGGAGGAUGAGCCCGCGUAGGAUUAGCUAGUUGGUGUGGUAAAGGCGCACCAAGGCGACGAUCCUUAGCUGGUCUGAGAGGAUGAUCAGCCACACUGGGACUGAGACACGGCCCAGACUCCUACGGGAGGCAGCAGUGGGGAAUAUUGGACAAUGGGCGAAAGCCUGAUCCAGCAAUGCCGCGUGAGUGAUGAAGGCCUUAGGGUUGUAAAGCUCUUUUACCCGGGAUGAUAAUGACAGUACCGGGAGAAUAAGCUCCGGCUAACUCCGUGCCAGCAGCCGCGGUAAUACGGAGGGAGCUAGCGUUGUUCGGAAUUACUGGGCGUAAAGCGCACGUAGGCGGCUUUGUAAGUUAGAGGUGAAAGCCUGGAGCUCAACUCCAGAACUGCCUUUAAGACUGCAUCGCUUGAAUCCAGGAGAGGUGAGUGGAAUUCCGAGUGUAGAGGUGAAA